GGAAGGUUGUUUACACGGAGCCCGUGGAGGUGUGGUUGGUGGAGCACAGGACUUCCCCUGGGUGAUUCCGAUGGGUGUAUCCCUUCCUUCGCUGGCAUUUUUUUGACCUAGGAGGACUCAUCCAGGAUGGACACUGGUCAUUGUCAGAUACUGCUUCAGAUGCAUUCUGGACAUGACACCUAUGGCAGAGAACACGCCUUGGAGUUCACCAUCUGUGAAGGGAACACCAUUGGCAUGGGCCCCUCUCCAAGAGACCUGAAGGACGGUUGGACCCCAGAACAUCUCCCCUGCCUCCUUCGCCCGCAGGCUCCUCGCUCCCUGGGAGGACUUCCUGCAAGUGAUGCUGACUUUGGAAAAGACAUCAUUUCUUCAUCCCUAUUGUCCAGUGGCCCUCUGUGAUGGAUUUUCUGUAUUUGUCACAAGUCAUCCUGAACAGACUGCCUUGUAGAACUAGACCAUCUCUCAAAGGAACCAGGAGUGUCUGUAAGAAGGGGAUGCUGGAAUCAGGAGCUUGCCAGGCACCCUAAGGGUGGUCCAUGGACAGCAGAUGCUGCUUCAGCAGUUUGUCCCACCUAAUUUGAGGUCCUUGGCUUCGCAUUUCUCAAGAGGAUGCCUUGCAGAACCACUGACUCACGGAGGAGAUUUUAUUUCAGGGUCCCAGACCACCCCAUUUCCUCUGAAAUGAUGCUCCGCUUGACCAUUUGCGGACUUGAUCACAAACGUACGGAAC
ensembl:lncRNA